UACGAAGGGGGCUAGCGUUGCUCGGAAUCACUGGGCGUAAAGGGUGCGUAGGCGGGUCUUUAAGUCAGGGGUGAAAUCCUGGAGCUCAACUCCAGAACUGCCUUUGAUACUGAGGAUCUUGAGUUCGGGAGAGGUGAGUGGAACUGCGAGUGUAGAGGUGAAAUUCGUAGAUAUUCGCAAGAACACCAGUGGCGAAGGCGGCUCACUGGUCCGGUACUGACGAUGAGGUGCGAAAGCGUGGGGAGCAAACAGG
rnacentral:rRNA from 1 species